rnacentral:misc_RNA from 1 species
UUUCCGUAGGUGAACCUGCGGAAGGAUCAUUAGCGUUUUCGGGAUUGUAUCCUUUGGUUAAAUGUGGAGAUUGGAUUUGUGGAUUUUCGAUUUUUUGAUGCGAAUUUGGCAUAUUGGUUGGCUUAUGGAUACGAUUGAUGUAAAAACAUACAACUCUUAGCAAUGGAUAUCUUGGUUCCC